rnacentral:rRNA from 1 species
UACGGAGGGGGCUAGCGUUGUUCGGAAUUACUGGGCGUAAAGCGUACGUAGGCGGCUUUGUAAGUUAGAGGUGAAAGCCCGGGGCUUAACCCCGGAAUUGCCUUUAAGACUGCAUCGCUUGAAUCAUGGAGAGGUGAGUGGAAUUCCGAGUGUAGAGGUGAAAUUCGUAGAUAUUCGGAAGAACACCAGUGGCGAAGGCGACUCACUGGACAUGUAUUGACGCUGAGACGCGAAAGCGUGGGGAGCAAACAGG